CUGGAUGUCACCCGCCUGCGGAUAAUACCUCCACCCCGAGUGGACUGGACGUUUAUUGUGCCUAAAUCAUCCGUAGCCAGAGUUCUACUAGUCUUCCAUUAAAUCCACCUGCUUAACAGAAGGGCCGCGGAAUAUACUAUAGGGUUAUGAGGCGGGAGAGGCAAGCGGCCACUCGAUGGGUAGGGGUAAAAUCCGUUGAUCCAUUGAAGACCACCAGUGGAUAAAGCGGCUUGCCACAACCCGCUCGACGGCGAGGGAUGAAAGCUGGGGGAGCAAACCGGAUUAUAUACCCGGGUAGUCCCGUCUGUAAACGAUACAUACUCGAUGAUGAGUUGAAUUCAUGCCAAUUCAGUGCCGCAGGGAAGCCGUUAAGUUUGCCGCCUGGGGAGGACGGUCGCAAGACUGAAACUUAAAG
rnacentral:rRNA from 2 species